UCCCCAAUUUCACUUUCCCUCCCCACAAGCCCUAGUUUCUUCUCCCAAUUUCACUUGCCCUCCCACGCCCUGAAAUCCGUCAUCCACUUCGAUUGCUUCGCCUGGAACGAUGAAGAGAGGAACGAUGAACAAGACCUUGUCGCCGUCAACCUAGAUCAGAGAGAGGAACGAUGAAGAGAGGCUUGAUUCCACACCAUUGAACCCAGAUCGAAGUCAUUCACCGUCCAAGCUACACCACCGCGAAUCUUCUUGCUGUAAUCAACGGUACCCGACCUUGUAUCCAAAUUUAGGUUUUCCUAGUGAAGAAGAGGUAAAAAGUUGGUGAUUUGGGUGGAAGAAAAUUUUAGGUUUUCCAAUUUGGAUUUUGGGUCCCUCUCCUCUUUCUGUUUUGUUCAGGUGGUAGAUGGUGGAGGUGUGGUUGAAUCAGCAUUAUCAGUUUAUUGGGAGCACCUUGCUACAACUUUAGGAUCUCGGGAGCAGUUGGUUAUAGCAGAGUUUGUUAAUCAUUCCAAAGGUAAGCGUCAAACCAAUUUAACUGUUUAGGUUUAAUUUUUAGAUCUUAUGCUUUUUUUACAUGUAACUACUAUCUAGGCUGGUAUGGCCUAGUUGAACAAUUGAUAUUAUGGGGAGAGAGGAUUUAUUCAGGCAUAAUUUGAAUUUGUGUGAACGGAGCAAGUGCUUUGCAGUAAAAGAAAAAGAAUGGGAAACUCUUAGAGUUGUAGACCGCCUCGCAAUACAGGUUGUCCUUUUUGUUUUUCUAUACUCACCUAGUUACUUUUAUCCUUGAAAUUUAAUUAACAUUAAGAAGCCAUAAGUUUUACACUUCUUUUUCUGGCAGCAUUUCUACUUUUGACUGACUUGUUAUUCUAUGGUAUUGGGGGGAGAGGGAGAGAGCGAGGAAGAUGAGAUUGAGUGAUCUGAGCAAUUACUUUCAUCUGCCUAUUGAAGAUGCAGCAAAAACAAGUGAACUUAUGCCCUCACAGUGAUGAAGAAAAUUUGCUGUAAAGCAGGACUAGCAUGAUGGCCUCAGAGAAAGGUUCUGGUGUCAGGUUUAGGACUCUUGUCAGAGGAAUCACCAAAUGCAGCUCCAUAACUGUCACCCUGAAAUUGCAAAAACACAAAAUGUUGGAAAUCAAGAAGCUUCUGCAGAACAGUUUGUCUUAGUGCACUGAAAGUUCAUUCACCUGAGAAGAAAUAAACCCGGGAGUGGGGCAAUUAUUCAUUGCUGGCUUGAACCUCACUAUCUUUGGUCUAAUGGCAGAAACUGUAGUAGCUUGAGAAGAUGCAGUAGGGGGAGAGUCAUUGAUUGCUCCUGCUAGGAGCUCUAAGAAAGAUUUGAAACUAGAACAGGUUCACUUGAAACAUUUGGGUGGUAGUAUUGACGUGGUAAUUUUAGCCACCAAAUCCCCUGAUUGUUAUUGGAGCAUCAGUCUCAUUCUUAAUAAGAAAUGUCUUAAAUUGGAGAAAAUUGGAGAAAACUAGCUCUAGCAAGUAAGGAUUUGUUCCACACCAGACAUGUGCACUCUGUUGGAGUCAUUGAUGCUAGAUUUCUUGGCCGUCUUUUCAAGGCUGUUUUGAAGCACUGCCUAAGCUACAAAUCCUGGAUAUGAGUGGUUGAGAGCUGUUGGAGCGUGUAGAGCAUCUUGAGAACUAGUCGUUAGAUCGAACUUCUUGUCAGGUGCAUUUAAUGCAUUGUACUUCUUCGAUGAAGACUUAUUGCCACAAUGUGUAUCUGUGUCAACGGUUGGUAGCAUCUUGAGCCUUGUUCCAUUCCUUGUAUGAGAGAAAGAGGAAACUGACUGUGACAACGUUGUACUUGCUUAUUUGGACAUAGUGCUUUGUGAGAUAUCACGUGAUUGCUUGCACUUGCUUUCUCUUCUCGAAUGUCAGAGGAUUAAAAAAUGAAUGUGUCGCUCUUUCUCUAGACAUUGCACUUUCUUUAAUAUCACUUGAGACAAACAAUGAUGAUGAUCUUUAAUAACUUCAAUCCUCUCAUACGAUCCACUGGCAUUGAUAUUUUCUUGCAUAGCUUAUCCUGAUGUA